CAGACUGAGUUGAUCGUUGAGCCAGAGAAGUUCACACCUCAGAGCUGUUUAAAGCUUCAGACGAUUAACAAGGAGGAAAAACUCGCAAAACAAGAUCUGAUCAAUUAUUUCGACCCAAAAUGCAAUGACUCAAAAUGGUUCCAGUACUCUCAGAACCUGCUGAUUAACUUCUCCAAGGUUGCGCUUGAUGCCAAAAUUGCAAUAAAAGAUAUAACAAAGUUUCAGAACCACUCCACCACAGUACCCACUACAGUCCAAUGCGUAAAUUGCUUUUAA
rnacentral:lncRNA from 3 species